rnacentral:lncRNA from 1 species
GUUGCCUUCUAUUGUUACAACAUGGAAGUGCUACCACAGGUCUGAUUUGAAUACAGUCUAAUAUGUACUUUUCCAUUUUAGUACCAUAAGAGACACGAGAGAGAUCUACUAGACCAGAAGAAGGAGAAGGAAGAGACACUACUGCUGGAGAUGGAACAGCUAGAGCGACAGCAGAGCGAAGCCAAGCUCACCAGUGAAAAACACACCGAAAAGAAACGGAGGGACAGUAAGACAGGGUUGUCAGGGACCAAGGGCCUGUCUGGAUCCACGUCCGGGGCCACUUUGUCCACCUCCUCCGGUAAAGAGUUGAGGAAGGCCAAACUGGCACGGAGUCGGUCGCUUAGCAGCCACCCUACUACACCCAAGAUGGCUAAUCCAGACAAAACUCUAAAGGUCAAGGAUUCAGGAAGCUGUCCUGGAAAAGGGAAGAACUUGCUUCCUAUGAAUGCGGACGAGGCUCUGCGGUCGCACCACUUCAGCGUGGCAGCAGCGUCGUCAGUGCUGUCUCCAACUCCCUCGGCUUCCUCCAUGCCCGUCCUUAUCCGCAGCAACACCACCAACACCCUGGUGGACCACCCACACCAACACCAGCACCGCAGCAGCACCCUGGACCACCGCACCACCAACGGGAGCAAGGACACCCAGUCCAGAAAACUCUCAAUACAAAGGAAGUCCAACUCUUUCGGUAUGCAGUCGGGGAGGGAGUAA